CCUACGGGAGGCUGCAGUGGGGAAUAUUGGGCAAUGGACGCAAGUCUGACCCAGCGACGCCGCGUGAAGGACGAAGGCAUUCGUGUUGUAAACUUCUUUGGAGAGGGACGAAAUUGACGGUACCUCUCGAACAAGCCACGGCUAACUACGUGCCAGCAGCCGCGGUAAUACGUAGGUGGCAAGCGUUAUCCGGAAUUACUGGGUGUAAAGGGCGCGCAGGCGGCCUUGCAAGUCGGAUGUGAAAGAUCAAGGCUCAACCUUGACAGGUCAUCCGAAACUGUAAGACUUGAGUGUCAGAGGGGAAAGUGGAAUUCCUAGUGGAGCGGUAAAAUGCGCAGAUAUUAGGAGGAACACCGGUGGCGAAGGCGACUUUCUGGCUGACAACUGACGCUGAGGCGCGAAAGCGUGGGGAGCAAACAGGAUUAGAUACCCCAGUAGUC
rnacentral:rRNA from 1 species